CCGCCGCCGCCACUCUCCCCGCGCUCGCCGCACGCGCUGCCAGGCUGCGCGGCCCUCUCUCCUCUCCUCUCCCUCCCGCCGCCGCCGCCGCCGCCCUCACCCCCGCCUCCCUCCUCCGCCGAGCUUCCCCGCCCGCGUCGUGACCAAUCGGAGGCCACCGAGCUGCGGCGGUAGCCGGCCAGAUCCACAGCAGCCGCCCGCCCCCGCCCACCUCCAAGCACCCCGUUUUUGCUGCAGCCCGCGGGGGGUCGCCGGAGGGAAGUCUAGGGGUGCGCGGAGCACCGCCCCGGCAGGUGGAGGGGCUGCGGGCAAAUAAAAUAACUUGCACGGGAACUUGAUGGUUGGCAGGUUCCUCGUUGGACCGCGAUGGGGAAUCAGAGAUUAGGAAAGGGGAGAAUGUUUUCUAGGUAGCCUAACACACGCUAUUUCUGUUUUCUCAUUUUUUUCGAGAUAGAUUAUUUUUCCUGGUAGGGUAGGGGCAGACCCAGCAAACUGGCGACGCAGGCAGAGCCCAUCCUGGCCAUUGUCUGAGGUGCUUGCCUUGAGCCACCUGCGGGCGGGGGAGGGCGGAGGCCGCGGUUUCUCUGGCGCUCGUACUUCUCCCACCUUUGCGAAUGUGCUGGAACAGCCCAAGUUUUGUGUUCUUGUUUCCUUUUCUUUUGUUUCCUCUGAGAGUUUGAGUGCGUGUUAUUUUAUAUGAAGUCUCCCGUUUUUUAUUUCUAACUCGUUAGCGUACUGUUCACAAUUUUUAACACACAGUUUCAGGGAAUUUGACUUCUUCCCUACACCACCUCCAACAAAAUCAACAAAGAAAAACAGAAAAGAAAGAGAAAGAGAGGGGUAAACAACCUAAAAGCCAGAAUUCGCUGUGAAAAUAGGAUUACCUAAAAGAUAAAAUGACUGAUAGUUCACAGUAGAGGAGUUUUGCUUCCUCUCCUUAAGGCAUGAACUUGGAGUGGUGCACAAAAAGUAAGAGACUUUACAAGUUUGGGUCACAAGCAUUUGUGGAAUAGAGCGAGGGGUUUUACAGGUAAAUAAAAAUACCGGUUUUUAUUUAAGCGUUUCCACACUCUGGAGGUCUUGGAAAUUAGUUGCAGUUAAUGAACAUUAUUCUACUUUGGAAUUUAUUUAUCUAUUUAGAACAAGAGAUAGGGAGACUG